UCGCGAUGAUGCCAUCUUAGGACACCUUUGGAGUUCAUAAUGAAAAGAACUUACUGAUCUGAGCGAC